GGAGGAAAAGAAACCAACAGGGAUUGCCUCAGUAACGGCGAGUGAAGCGGCAACAGCUCAAAUUUGAAAUCUGGCCCUAGGCCCGAGUUGUAAUUUGCAGAGGAUGCUUUUGGUGCGGUGCCUUCCAAGUUCCCUAGAACGGGACGCCAGAGAGGGUGAGAGCCCCGUACAGUUGGACACCAAGCCUUUGUAAAGCUCCUUCGACGAGUCGAGUAGUUUGGGAAUGCUGCUCAAAAUGGGAGGUAUAUUUCUUCUAAAGCUAAAUACCGGCCAGAGACCGAUAGCGCACAAGUAGAGUGAUCGAAAGAUGAAAAGCACUUUGAAAAGAGGGUUAAACAGCACGUGAAAUUGUUAAAAGGGAAGCGCUUGUGACCAGACUUGCGUCCGGUGAAUCACCCAGCUCUCGCGGCUGGGGCACUUCGCCGGCUCAGGCCAGCAUCAGCUCGCUGUCGGGGACAAAAGCUUCAGGAACGUAGCUCUCUUCGGGGAGUGUUAUAGCCUGUUGCAUAAUACCCUUCGGCGGGCUGAGGUACGCGCUCCGCAAGGAUGCUGGCAUAAUGGUCAUCAGCGACCCGUCU
rnacentral:sRNA from 1 species